UGCCAGCAGCCGCGGUAAUACGUAGGGGGCAAGCGUUAUCCGGAUUUACUGGGUGUAAAGGGAGCGUAGACGGCUGUGCAAGUCUGAUGUGAAAGGCGGGGGCUCAACCCCUGGACUGCAUUGGAAACUGUAUAGCUUGAGUGCCGGAGAGGUAAGCGGAAUUCCUAGUGUAGCGGUGAAAUGCGUAGAUAUUAGGAGGAACACCAGUGGCGAAGGCGGCUUACUGGACGGUAACUGACAUUGAGGCUCGAAAGCGUGGGGAGCAAACAGGAUUAGAUA
rnacentral:rRNA from 1 species